GUCUGCGCACGGCCCCAUCCCGCCUCGCGCAGCUCCCCUCAGGCUGCCCCGGAGCCGAUCCCGGGAGAGCGCUGAGAGCUCCGGGAGCUGCGGGGACUCCUCCUGCCCUUCCCGCACUCCCUCCCGCACUCCCUCACAGCUUCCCUACUCGCGGGGAGUCGUCGCAGAGGGGCCUGCGCUCUGCGGGAGGCGAGCGGUGCCGCUGAGGCCUGGUCAGCGCUGGUGGCAGCGGCGGCUGGGCCGGGUCCUGUGGUGUCCCCCGGUCCCUAGGCGGGAGCAGCCCCGCUCUCGCCGCGCUCACAGGCUGGGCCUCUGCCAGCAGCCCGGGAGGGUAAUGGGAAGUUUCCCAUUUCCUAGCGUGGCGCGACAUGGCCUCCCCCAUCCCGGCGGGCGCUUCGGGCCUCUCUCAGCCGCCCGGCCCGGCCCGUCUCGGAGCUUCGCCCCGAGGCUCCCUCCAGGUGUCAAGCUGCCGCCUCUUACUGGCAGGACCUGCCUUGUCUCCAGCUUCGGACAGUCCUUGGGUAUCUGAUUCACCUCUUCAAAGGGCUAGGAAUGGCUCUUUGCGGCUCUUUCCACGCAUUGUUCUUCAAGGCUGCAUCUGAGCACCCUUGUCCGCUCCAGCUCCUCAGCCCUGUUCUGUGCUGGGAUCAUCGAGCUCAUCUCAGCCCCGGAGCCGAAGUUGUCUCCCGACUCAGGCAGCCACUGCUAGCUUCCACUGUGCUGUUCAAACAAGUCAGCAGAGGAACUGCCUGAGCCCAGGACUUAAAAUCAAGGAUGGGUCUGACUGGAGGGAGAGAGCAGAGGAGAAUCAGCCCUAGAGAACAAGAUCCAGCACAGCCUUCAGAAGGAGCUGGUGAUGGCCUCUUCUCCCCUUUCCACAAACACCUCCUCACCCACUUAUAGGUUGGUAAAUUCUAACACACAAGAGGGAUCUGAACCUGGGAAGUGUAACUGCCCUCCAGCAGGAGAUGUGCCCAUCCCUCCAGCGAGCACCCAGGGGACACCGGGCCCUUCCGCCCCAGCACCCGCAGCACCCAGCGCUGCUCAGGGCACCUCAUCAACAUAGCAGCACGUUUGUUCUCACAGCCAACCAUCACCCAGAUGCAGCUGGCAAGUCUUUCACAGUGACAGCAACUUCAGUUGUGUGUGAUCCCCGAGGACAAACCCCGACACACUGGAACCCCUGGGGAGUUGUGCAGGACGGGUCUGACCGCCAGAGUCUGCAUGAUGCCAGGAACUGCACUGCAGACGUUCAGCGUAGCCUGGAUUUGACACAGUGUCAGUUAUUUAAAAUUCAUGUACCUUCAACAAACAUUACUGUUUUUAUAUCACUGCUUAGGCAGCAUGAAAGCAGCUUUGCCAAACCCCAUUUUCCAGAGCUGGAAGUGAAUUAAUUAAAGUUUUUUUUCCCUCCAUACCCCACUGGUUAUGCUUCCAAGAAUUUCUUGAAGGUGCAUAUUGUUGGGAAGGGCAGUUAGUAUACACCAGAUGGAAGAAAGAAGCAAUAAAUUUUCAACACUGCUACAAUGACAGCACAAUAGUCAGUUCUCAAUGAUUUUCUUUCCACUUUACAACCUUUUCUAGUGCAGGUAAAAUACAGCAAAAAAACAACAAC